AUUACCCUAAUACUUCCAAAAAGAGAAAAAGAUUAGAAAUAAAAAAUUGAAUUAUUCGAAUACUCUUUGAGAUUUGUUUGAUUUGACAUUUAUGGGAUAUUUUCUUAAAUUCUGAUACAAGAAGUUUUAAAAUGUCUUGUAUGUAAAACAAAACUAUUACGUGCGAGAAAUAAGACGACAAAAUAAAACACAAUUGAAAUAUGUAUAAUUAUAAUCGAAAUAUACCCUAUCAAUUAAUGUGCGUAGGAUAUGUAGUUAAAUCAAGAGUUAAUACUUUACUUUCCAAACACUCUCCAACCUGGCAAAUACCAAUUAAUGCAUCAGCAUGGGAAUAAAAUUCCUCUUUCAAAGAUAUGACAAUAGUUUGUAAAGAGCUUGUUUUAUCGCGUAUGUAACUAGCAACUUUUCCUAUGUUAGUAUUAUCCAGUGCAGCAUCGAUUUCAUCCAAAACAAAGAAUGGCGCAGGUUGAAAACUAUAGAUUUCAUAAAAUUAGAUUAUAAUCUAACAUAAGAUAAUUUAAUAAUAAUUUAAUAUAAUGUAAAAUAUAUUAUGAAUAAGAAAUAGAUUAAUUUUAGAUUUAAAUUUAUUUCAAAAUAAAAAUUUAAAAACCUAAUAAUU
rnacentral:misc_RNA from 1 species